rnacentral:snRNA from 2 species
AUACUUACCUGGACGGGGUCGACGGCUGAUCAAGAAGAGUCGUGGCCUAGGCUAGUGGUCCACAUUGCACUUGGUGGAUGCGCUGGCCUACCAUCUCCCCAAGUGGGAGAGUGGACGUCGUAAUUUGUGAUAGAGGGGGUACGCGUUCGCGCGGCCCCUGC